CCUACGGGAGGCAGCAGUAGGGAAUAUUGCUCAAUGGGGGAAACCCUGAAGCAGCAACGCCGCGUGGAGGAUGAAGGUUUUCGGAUUGUAAACUCCUUUUGUUAGAGAAGAUAAUGACGGUAUCUAACGAAUAAGCACCGGCAAACUCCGUGCCAGCAGCCGCGGGAAUACGGAGGGUGCAAGCGUUACUCGGAAUCACUGGGCGUAAAGCGCGCGUAGGCGGGAUAGCAAGGCAGAAGUGAAAUCCUAUGGCUUAACCAUAGAACUGCAUUUGAGACUGGUAUUCUAGAGUAGGGGAGAGGUAGGUGGAAUUCUUGGUGUAGGGGUAAAAUCCGUAGAGAUCAAGAGGAAUACUCAUUGCGAAGGCGACCUGCUAGAACAUAACUGACGCUGAUGCGCGAAAGCGUGGGGAGCAAACAGGAUUAGAUACCCGGGUAGUC
rnacentral:rRNA from 1 species